rfam:Felis catus breed Abyssinian Contig133295.1, whole genome shotgun sequence. [26-MAY-2016]
GCCUGGGUGGCUCAGUCGGUUGAGCGUCUGACUUUGGCUCAGGUCACGAUCUCACGGCUUGUGAGUUUGAGCCCCGCUUCGGGCU